rnacentral:lncRNA from 1 species
CUUCUCCCCCUCCACCAUACUACUACAAGUCACCACCACCACCAUCUUCAUCUCCUCCACCACCCUACUACUACAAGUCUCCUCCUCCACCAUCACCUUCACCACCCCCACCUUACUACUACAAGUCGCCUCCUCCACCGUCACCUUCUCCACCACCUCCUUACUACUAUCACUCUCCACCUCCACCCGUAAAGUCUCCUCCUCCUCCUUAUUACUACAGCUCACCUCCUCCACCAGUGAAAUCACCUCCUCCACCGGCGUACAUUUACGCUUCACCACCACCACCAGUCCACUACUAAGAGGUUUUGAGAGUGCAGUCAUUCUCC